rnacentral:rRNA from 1 species
AUGAACGCUGGCGGCGUGCCUAAUACAUGCCAGUCGAGCGAACAGACGAGGAGCUUGCUCCUCUGACGUUAGCGGCGGACGGGUGAGUAACACGUGGAUAACCUACCUAUAAGACUGGGAUAACUUCGGGAAACCGGAGCUAAUACCGGAUAAUAUAUUGAACCGCAUGGUUCAAUAGUGAAAGACGGUUUUGCUGUCACUUAUAGAUGGAUCCGCGCCGCAUUAGCUAGUUGGUAAGGUAACGGCUUACCAAGGCAACGAUGCGUAGCCGACCUGAGAGGGUGAUCGGCCACACUGGAACUGAGACACGGUCCAGACUCCUACGGGAGGCAGCAGUAGGGAAUCUUCCGCAAUGGGCGAAAGCUUGACGGAGCAACGCCGCGUGACUGAUGAAGGUCUUCGGAUCGUAAAACUCUGUUAUUAGGGAAGAACAAAUGUGUAAGUAACUAUGCACGUCUUGACGGUACCUAAUCAGAAAGCCACGGCUAACUACGUG